GCGACAAAUUGAAUUCCCCCUCUUUCCCUUCAUUAUCAAUCAUCCGCCCUUCUCUCUUCAAUCAAAAUCCUAUUUCCUUAAAACCAAGUCACGUCCUCAGCUUCUUAUUCACAAACCCUAAUUCUCUAUACUGCAUUCAUGGCGUCAAAAAAUUUCUAUUUAUUGGCAGGUGAUCUGGAUACAGGGUUUUCUUUUUUACAUCGAUAAAAAACCCUAGACUUCUACCUUUCUUCUUCAAUACAUUACAACAGAGAUUUCUCAUAAACCCUAAUCUCCUUCACGCUUUCUUGAUUUCGCCCCAUCUUUCUCAUUGAAUCCUCUACAAUCCUUUGAUUCAACCAUAAGGUAAUUUUGAUUUGUGUUUCUAAAUCUACCUGUAUCGAAGAAUAAAUGGAAGGUGUUUCAAGACAAGCUCUGCUUCAAACACUCCGAACACUUUGUUAUUUGGUGUCAUUGACAAGUAACUCCUGUCACCGCCUCUUGCUUAUCGGUCAAUAAUAUUGUUUGUGAUUGAUGGCCAUUCAUUUUCAUGAAGAUGAUAAAUCGAAGAUUCGGAUUAAACCCUAAUUUUUAAGAUUCGGAUUGUAGAUAUGUGAAGAUGAUGAUCUGGGGAUGAUUUUAAACUAUUUGAUUGAACCCCUUUUCUCUCCUAAUUGACUUUCGGUUUCCAAGGAUGGUAACGUAUCUCCUUGCCGUUGUACAGGUGAGUUCAUCUUGCCUAUAGUCUUGUAUGCUUUUUUUUGUCAAGAAUUUUAGGUGUUUAAUUGAUGAAUGUUUGCGAUAGGGAUCCCUUAUAGAUUGAAUCAAUUUUCACUGAUGAGACACAUAUUUUUAGUUUUGGGUCUCAGGUUAUGAUGGUAACCUAACACAGUGAUUAUGUUUUCUUAAUUAGUUAAAUAAUAUUGUUAUCUGAAGCACUUCAAAUUCUUAUAUGUUGGUGGCAAGAUGAACACACCUAAACGACAAGAUGUUCACUUUGAUUAAUAUUAUUUAGAUAACUACUUUGAUAUCUGUCAGUGGCAACAUGUGGUGGCAAGCAUUAGUGCUUGGUCACUUUGUGUUUCAAUAUCAUUUAUGUUUGGUCACUUUGUUUUUCAGUAUCAUUUCUGGAUGCUCACUUUAAUCUCUAUAAUUAUAAAUCAACAUGUGAGUACACUUGGCUGGAUUUCAGCUCACUCCUAUUAUGUUAAGCUCUAUUAGAUGUCUCAUUCUCUGCCAUAUGGCAAUUAUACACGCGUGGCAUUUUUUGUUAAGCUUAAUGGACAUAACACAUUCCUCCUUACCCUCCUAAAUUCUGCCACCUCUGAUUUCAAAACUCUACAUCUCAAUUCGUAUGGAGCAUGCCUGAUUCUGUAGUUAAUUUGUAUUGCUUUCAUAUUUUACGUUAUAAAGGUAAAUGGUUUGUUGUUGUUCUUCUUCUUCAUAUCAUGUUUGAUCUAAUUAUCACGUUUUUGUUUGAUGUUGACAACUAACCCAAAUAAAACCGUUCUAUAGAUCAAACCAGCUGAAUCGGAAAAAAGGUAAAUAUCAAUCCUUUGAAUCGAUCAAAUCCAUUUUAAUCGAUCAAAUCCUUUCAAGCUCUUUUUUUCUUGGCCUGCGAGGUAACUCUCUGUUUCCAAUUGGUAUCAUCACAUCCAUAUAUGCUUAUCUACUUACUUGUGGUUAUCAAUAAUGGUCAUCCACCUAUUUUAUCAAAUUUGUAGUUCAUAAUCAAUUUUAAUAAACAAUCUCAAGUUGUCACGGUUUGUGAACCACUAAUACAUAUGCUUUUAAAAAGUUAAUUUGUUUGCUUAAAAAUGGUGAAGCAGGUUCUUUCUUUAUUGUAUGUGUUCAUAUUAUAAAUGGGUCGUAAUGGUGGCUUGCUUUAUGCGGCCUCUACUUGGCGGGCAUCAUCUCCUGAUUCGGAAGUAUCCUACUUUGGAAACUUGAUUAUAUAAUUCUUGGAAAAUAGAAUUAUGUUUAACACUGAAGUAUUUAUGAAAUGGUUUAAUAACUUUGCACAUGAACUUUUUUCGAGUCACUCUAACCUGACCCGACUGGAUCAAUCCUCCACAACAACCUAUUUUGACCUGCCCGUUUUGCAACUUCUAAUCCUUUGUUUCAAACAUUUUGAAUUUGUUUGGAAUAUUGAUCAAGUAAUAAUAAUAUUAUAAGAGUGUUUUGUAUAUGUUAGGAGAUUGAAUCCUCAUAAUUGAUUAUUUGUUGUUGUAAUUAUAGAGUUUUUGUUGAGGUUAAAUUAGAACAGAAGAUGAAGAAAAAAAGGUAAGCUUUUACUAAAAAUUUCCAGAAAUCGGGUAUAGGCGUGUGGCUGAAUAUCUUUGUAAAAAAGAGAUGAUGCGUUAAGAAACUCAAUAUUUAAGCUUUUACCUCAUGUAACCAAGGUGAUCGGGUCACACAAUUUAUGUAAAGGAUCAAUAUAAAUUCUGGUUGAAAUGGGUCGCGCAGAUUAUUGAUAUUUUGGGUGAAUUUUGAGCUAUUUGACAUGAUUAUUUUUUAAGAAAAUCAGUAAAUUUUCCAUCAUAAGAUUUAAUGAUUUUAGGGACCUUGGGUUUUGAAACAAAGUGUUAGAGCCACUCUGUUGGAUCAGUUGCUUAAAAACCAAUUAAUUUUGAUCUGUAAGCAGGGUCACUUACAUCAUGUAGCUUUAAUAUUUCAACUUCAUGUUUUUAACUUUUUAUUCUAUAUAUUAUUCAAACUUUAAUCUGUAUAUUAUUCAAACUUCAAAGUUCAUAUAUAGUGUGACAACUUUUUAACAUGUUUUAUUUGCAGCUAAAGUCUAAAGACUUAGGUUGUUCAAAGGAAGACAAAAGAAGCUUCAAUGACAACCAAAAGGCUAAAAGAAUUGCUACAAGCUUGGAAGUCUCUACCUGUGACAGCUCAUGUAUAUUCAUUUUGAAGUGAAUUGUAUUUUUUUAGUCUUCAGGGUUUUUUAUGUUACCUUUUCAUUCUAAGGUUUUGCUUGGUGCUUUAAUAUUUGGUCCAGAAGAUAUCUAUCUGCCAACCCUUAGACGUGAAGCCUAAGUUUGGAAAGACCUAGAACAAAAAUGAUGAUCUACAUGGGCUUCAAUGCCAGUAGAUAUUAUAUGUUUGUAUUAAGCCACCUGCGAAACUCGCGGGAUCUUAAACCAGUUUCCUUUAAUAUAAUAAGAAACGGUUGAGCACUUGGUUUC